GAUGAACGCUAGCGAUAGGCUUAACACAUGCAAGUCGAGGGGCAGCAUGGUCUUAGCUUGCUAAGGCUGAUGGCGACCGGCGCACGGGUGCGUAACGCGUAUGCAACUUGCCUCACAGAGGGGGAUAACCCGUCGAAAGACGGACUAAUACCGCGUACACUCUAUGUUGGGCAUCCAAUGUAGAGGAAAUGAAAUUCGCUGUGAGAUAGGCAUGCGUCCCAUUAGCUAGUUGGUGAGGUAACGGCUCACCAAGGCGACGAUGGGUAGGGGAACUGAGAGGUUGAACCCCCACACUGGUACUGAGACACGGACCAGACUCCUACGGGAGGCAGCAGUGAGGAAUAUUGGUCAAUGGGCGAGAGCCUGAACCAGCCAAGUCGCAUGAAGGAUGACUGUCUUAUGGAUUGUAAACUUCUUUUAUACGGGAAUAACAAGAGUCACGUGUGGCUCCCUGCAUGUACCGUAUGAAUAAGCAUCGGCUAACUCCGUG
rnacentral:rRNA from 1 species